rnacentral:rRNA from 1 species
AUUGAACGCUGGCGGCAGGCCUAACACAUGCAAGUCGAACGAGUGGCGGACGGGUGAGUAAUGUCUGGGAAACUGCCCGAUGGAGGGGGAUAACUACUGGAAACGGUAGCUAAUACCGCAUACCAUCGGAUGUGCCCAGAUGGGAUGAGCUAGUAGGUGGGGUAAUGGCUCACCUAGGCGACGAUCCCUAGCUGGUCUGCGAGGGUGACCGGCAACAAUGGAACUGAGACACGGUCCAGACUCCUACGGGAGGCAGCAGUGGGGAAUAUUAGGCAAUGGGCGAAAGCCUGAUCCAGCCAUGCCGCGUGAAUGAAGAAGGCCUUCGGAUUGUAAAGCUCUUUCGGCGGGGAGGCGGUACUCGCAGAGGAAGCCCCGGCUAACUCCGUGCCAGCAGCCGCGGUAAUUC